rnacentral:rRNA from 1 species
GACGAACGCUGGCGGCGUGCUUAACACAUGCAAGUCGAACGGAAAGGCCCUGCUUUGGUGGGGUGCUCGAGUGGCGAACGGGUGAGUAACACGUGAGUAACCUGCCCUUGACUUUGGGAUAACUUCAGGAAACUGGGGCUAAUACCGGAUAGGAGCCCCUGCUGCAUGGUGGGGGUUGGAAAGUUUCGGCGGUUGGGGAUGGACUCGCGGCUUAUCAGCUUGUUGGUGGGGUAGUGGCUUACCAAGGCUUUGACGGGUAGCCGGCCUGAGAGGGUGACCGGCCACAUUGGGACUGAGAUACGGCCCAGACUCCUACGGGGGGCAGCGGUGGGGAAUAUUGCACAAUGGGCGGAAGCCUGAUGCAGCAACGCCGCGUGCGGGAUGACGGCCUUCGGGUUGUAAACCGCUUUCGCCUGUGACGAAGCGUGAGUGACGGUAAUGGGUAAAGAAGCACCGGCUAACUACGUG